UACCAGCACCCCGAGUGGUCGGGACGAUUAUUGGGCCUAAAGCAUCCGUAGCCGGUUCUACAAGUCUUCCGUUAAAUCCACCUGCUCAACAGUUGGGCUGCGGAGGAUACUAUAGAGCUAGGAGGCGGGAGAGGCAAGCGGUACUUAGUGGGUAGGGGUAAAAUCCGUUGAUCCAUUGAAGACCACCAGUGGCGAAGGCGGCUUGCCAGAACGCACUCGACGGUGAGGGAUGAAAGCUGGGGGGAGCAAACCGG
rnacentral:rRNA from 1 species